GUGCCAGCAGCCGCGGUAAUACGUAGGUGGCAAGCGUUGUCCGGAUUUACUGGGCGUAAAGAGCGCGCAGGCGGCCGAGUCAGUCGAAUGUGAAAGCCCCCGGCUCAACUGGGGAGGGUCAUUCGAUACUGCUCGGCUUGAAGAUGGGAGAGGGAAGCGGAAUUUCAGGUGUAGUGGUGAAAUGCGUAGAUAUCUGAAGGAACACCAGUGGCGAAGGCGGCUUUCUGGCCCAUUCUUGACGCUGAGGCGCGAAAGCUAGGGGAGCAAACGGGAUUAGAAACCCCUGUAGUCC
rnacentral:rRNA from 1 species